GUGUCAGCAGCCGCAGUAAAACGUAGGACGCGAGCGUUAUCCGGAGUUACUGGGCGUAAAGCGCGGGCAGGCGGUCUGACAAGUCUGAUGUGAAAUCACCCAGCUUAACUGGGCGAGGCCAUUGGAAACUGACAGACUGGAGGGCAGUAGAGGUAGGCGGAAUUCCGGGUGGAGUGGUGAAAUGCGUAGAGAUCCGGAGGAACACCAGAGGCGAAGGCGGCCUACUGGGCUGCACCUGACGCUGAGCCGCGAAAGCCAGGGGAGCGAACGGGAUUAGAAACCCCUGUAGUCC
rnacentral:rRNA from 1 species